GAAGUGUGGGCUGGCGAAACCAUGAAGCCGUGCCAGAUUCCUGCUGCCCGGAGAAGAGAGAAGGCUGUGGACAUGACAAGGAAAAAGCUCACAGAAAGGGAUGUAUCUCAGCUUUAAAGCUCUUUCUGUUGAAGAAUCUGGUGUGGGUCGGCGGUGUUUGCAUUGCUCUUGGAAUCACAGAGGUGUUUGGCGUGGUAGUCGGAGUGUGCCGAAUCCUGGACAUUAAACGCAAAAAUUAUGAGAAUGUCGACUAAUUCAUCAUCACAACCAUCUUUACACAUCAACAAACAAACUUGUUUGAUCAUAAUAUACAUUUUUGUUUUAUGUGAUUAUAUGCUCAAAAACAUUCUCCUUACUUAAACCUCUAGGUUUAAGCUCAAUAAAGAACCUAAAAAAAAAUUCGAUCCAUAUUCUAUGUUAAUUUUAAACUGUUUACCUGUUAGUUCUUUCUAAGAACAGAGCUCAAAUCAAUAGGUUGUACAGGUUAAAGGUUAUUGGCUCUUUGAAUUAAUCCAUUCAUAUGAUGAAUUAGCCUACUUAGCAAAACAAAGUCAGAGAUGGUGGGAGAUG